AUUGAACGCUGGCGGCGUGCCUAACACAUGCAAGUCGAGCGGUAACAGGUGUAGCAAUACAUGCUGACGAGCGGCGAACGGGUGAGUAAUGCUUUGGAAUCUCCCCAGUAGUGGGGAAUAACCAGUCGAAAGAUUGGCUAAUACCGCAUACGUCUGUAAAGGGAAAGCGGGGGACUCGCCUCUUCUUCGGAAGAGAGGCCUCGCGCUAUUGGAUGAGCCAAAGCGGAUUAGCUAGUUGGUGGGGUAAUGGCCUACCAAGGCGACAAUCCGUAGCUGGUCUGAGAGGACGACCAGCCACACCGGAACUGAGGCACGGUCCGGACUCCUACGGGAGGCGGCAGUGGGGAAUAUUGGACAAUGGGGAACCCUGAUCCAGCGACGCCGCGUGUGUGAAGAAGGCCU
rnacentral:rRNA from 1 species